rnacentral:rRNA from 1 species
GACGAACGCUGGCGGCGUGCUUAACACAUGCCAGUCGAACGGAAAGGCCCUGCUUGCAGGGUACUCGAGUGGCGAACGGGUGAGUAACACGUGGGUGAUCUGCCCUGCACUUCGGGAUAAGCCUGGGAAACUGGGUCUAAUACCGGAUAGGAGCCAUUUUUAGUGUGAUGGUUGGAAAGUUUUUUCGGUGUAGGAUGAGCUCGCGGCCUAUCAGCUUGUUGGUGGGGUAAUGGCCUACCAAGGCGGCGACGGGUAGCCGGCCUGAGAGGGUGGACGGCCACAUUGGGACUGAGAUGCGGCCCAGACUCCUACGGGAGGCAGCAGUGGGGAAUAUUGCACAAUGGGCGCAAGCCUGAUGCAGCGACGCCGCGUGGGGGAUGACGGCCUUCGGGUUGUAAACUCCUUUCGCUAGGGACGAAGCUUUUUGUGACGGUACCUAGAUAAGAAGCACCGGCUAACUACGUG